rnacentral:rRNA from 1 species
CCCUUAGAUGUUCUGGGCCGCACGCGCGCUACACUGAUGCAUUCAACGAGCCUAGCCUUGACCGAGAGGUCCGGGUAAUCUUUGAAACUGCAUCGUGAUGGGGCUAGAUUAUUGCAAUUAUUAAUCUUCAACGAGGAAUGCCUAGUAAGCGUGAUUCAUCAAAUCGCGUUGAUUACGUCCCUGCCCUUUGUACACACCGCCCGUCGCUCCUACCGAUUGAAUGGUCCGGUGAAAUGUUCGGAUCGCGGCAAAUCGGACGGGUAACCGUCAGGUUCGCUGCGAGAAGUUCAUUAAACCUUAUCAUUUAGAGGAAGGAGAAGUCGUAACA